rnacentral:rRNA from 1 species
UACGAAGGGUGCGAGCGUUAUUCGGAGUGAUUGGGCGUAAAGGGUGCGUAGGCUGUGCGUUAAGUCAACUGUCAAAUUCCCUAGCUCAACUAGGGGCAGGCGGUUGAAACUGGCGUGCUUGAGGGUGGAAGAGAGAAGUGGAAUUCUCGGAGUAGCGGUAAAAUGCGUAGAUCUCGAGAGGAACACCGAUGGCGAAGGCAGCUUCUUGGUCCAUUCCUGACGCUGAGGCACGAAAGCGUGGGGAGCAAACAGG